UGCUUUGCCGACACGGAAGGCCGCGUCCACCGUUGCUGUUUAAACGAUCAAAUUUUCCUAAAAUACUGCCGCGUACAGUCCAACGGACCGCACCGGGAAACGAGGCCGAUCAGCUGGAGUAAGGAAGAAACCACCGGAUGACCGGUGUAGAGGUGCAUAUGACAAGGCAGUUCUUAAUAAUGGAGAUUUUGCAAGCUAGAGAGUUCAAAGAAGGAAGUCCAGGAUCUGACCUGCCCGGCUCAAACUACAAGUCCCAGCAUGCCCUGCCCGUCAUGCAGCCUGUUCGGCCUUCCUCCCCCUCCUCCUCUUCCUCCCCCUCCCCCUCC